UACGGAGGGUGCAAGCGUUAUUCGGAUUUAUUGGGCGUAAAGAGCGUGUAGGCGGCCACACAGGUCUGCUGUGAAAACUCGAGGCUCAACCUCGAGCUGUCGGUGGAAACCGUGUGGCUAGAGUCCGGAAGAGGAGAGUGGAAUUCCCGGUGUAGCGGUGAAAUGCGCAGAUAUCGGGAAGAACACCCGUGGCGAAGGCGGCUCUCUGGGACGGUACUGACGCUGAGACGCGAAAGCGUGGGGAGCGAACAGG
rnacentral:rRNA from 1 species